rnacentral:rRNA from 1 species
UGGGGAAUAUUGCACAAUGGGCGCAAGCCUGAUGCAGCCAUGCCGCGUGUGUGAAGAAGGCCUUCGGGUUGUAAAGCACUUUCAGCGAGGAGGAAGGGUAGUGUGUUAAUAGCACAUUGCAUUGACGUUACUCGCAGAAGAAGCACCGGCUAACUCCGUGCCAGCAGCCGCGGUAAUACGGAGGGUGCAAGCGUUAAUCGGAAUUACUGGGCGUAAAGCGCACGCAGGCGGUUUGUUAAGUCAGAUGUGAAAUCCCCGCGCUUAACGUGGAACUGCAUUUGAAACUGGCAAGCUAGAGUCUUGUAGAGGGGGGUAGAAUUCCAGGUGUAGCGGUGAAAUGCGUAGAGAUCUGGAGGAAUACCGGUGGCGAAGGCGGCCCCCCUGGACAAAGA